rnacentral:rRNA from 1 species
UACGGGAGGCAGCAGUGGGGAAUAUUGCACAAUGGGCGAAAGCCUGAUGCAGCUAUGCCGCGUGUAUGAAGAAGGCCUUAGGGUUGUAAAGUACUUUUCAUCGGGGAGGAAAAACAAAACUAAUAAUUUUAUUUCUUGACGUUACCCGAAAAAGAAGCACCGGCUAACUCCGUGCCAGCAGCCGCGGUAAUACGGAGGGUGCUAGCGUUAAUCAGAAUUACUGGGCGUAAAGAGCACGUAGGUGGUUUUUUUAAGUCAGAUGUGAAAUCCCUGGGCUUAACCUAGGAACUGCAUUUUGAAACUGAAAUACUAGAGUAUCGUAGAGGGAGGUAGAAUUCUAGGUGUAGCGGUGAAAUGCGUAGAUAUCUGGAGGAAUACCUGUGGCGAAAGCGGCCUCCUAAACGAAUACUGACACUGAGGUGCGAAAGCGUGGGGAGCAAACAGGGAUUAGAUACC